rnacentral:rRNA from 1 species
UUCCCUCAGGAUACCUGGAGCCCAUUACGAGUUCUAUAAGGUAAAGCCAAUGAUUAGCCAUUUUUGGUAAGUAGAACUGGCGAUGCGGGAUGAACCGGAAGCUGGGUUAUGGUGCCCAACUGCACGCUAACCUAGAACCCAGAAAGGGUGUUGGUCGAUUAAGACAGUAGGACGGUGGUCAUGGAAGUCGAAAUCCGCUAAGGAGUGUGUAACAACUCACCUGCCGAAUCAACUAGCCCUGAAAAUGGAUGGUGCUGAAGCGCGCGACCCACACCCGGCCAUCCGGGCGAGCGCCAUGCCCCGAUGAGUAGGAGGGCGCGGCGGCCGCUUCAAAACCCGGGGCGCGAGCCCGGGCGGAGCGGCCGUCGGUG